rnacentral:rRNA from 1 species
UCGGGAAUUUUGGGCAAUGGGCGAAAGCCUGACCCAGCAACGCCGCGUGAGGGAUGAAGUAUUUCGGUAUGUAAACCUCGAAAGAAUGGGAAGAAUAAAUGACGGUACCAUUUAUAAGCUCCGGCUAACUACGUGCCAGCAGCCGCGGUAAUACGUAGGGAGCAAGCGUUGUUCGGAUUUACUGGGCGUAAAGGGCGCGUAGGCGGCGCGGUAAGUCACUUGUGAAAUCUCUGAGCUUAACUCAGAACGGCCAAGUGAUACUGCUGUGCUAGAGUGCGGAAGAGGCAACCGGAAUUCUUGGUGCAGCGGUGAAAUGCGUAGAUAUCAAGAGGAACACGUGAGGCGAAGGCGGGUUGCUGGGCCGACACUGACGCUGAUGCGCGAAAGGCAGGGG